rnacentral:tRNA from 1 species
CAGGGAGACAACAAAAUGUUUAAUAUUAUUAUUUUGUCACCUUAGGUCGAUCGGUAUCUCACUUUCUUGAUUUAUUAAGAAUUUCAUUUCCUAAGUUUUUCUAGGUCACACCCAUUAUUUUUCCUGGGCCAUUAGCUCAGGUGGUUAGAGCGCACCCCUGAUAAGAGUGAGGUCCCUGGUUCAAGUCCAGGAUGGCCCAUAUCUCUAUGUUGGGGGUAUAGCUCAGUUGGUAGAGCGCCUGCUUUGCAAGCAGGAUGUCAGCGGUUCGAGUCCGCUUACCUCCACUGAUCACCACCUCUUCAUAAUUGUAGAAGGGAAUUGUUUUGAGUUGUGAUCAAAUUCUGAACGAAUCUAGCUUCCUAAUCAGAACGAUUAAGAUGCUGGACUCAUUGAAUUAAUUUCAUUGUUUUCAGCGAACCUUGACAACUGCAUAGAUUAUUUUUAAAGACAAUAAGCAUCUUUAAUGAUGCAGAUUUAUUAUUUGUGCGAAUGCAUUAAAUAACAAUUCUAUUAAGCUGAUGCUUCAAAUUUUGAAGUUAUU